rnacentral:rRNA from 1 species
GGAUAACAGAGAAUCUGGGUUCGAUUCCGGAGAGGCCGCAUGAGAAACGGCGACCACUUCCAAGGAAGGCAGCAGGCACGCAAAUUACCCACUUCGGACACCGAGAGGUAGUGACGAACAAUACCGAUGCGGUGCACUUACGUGUCGCCGUAAUCGGAAUGAGUACACUUCAAAUCCUUUAACGAGGAUCCACUGGAGGGCAAGCCUGGUGCCAGCAGCCGCGGUAAUUCCAGCUCCAGCAGCGUAUAUUUAUAUUGCUGCGUUUAAAAAGCUCGUAGUUGAAGCGUCAGACGCGGGAGGACGGACGACCGCACUGGUCGCUUCUCGUCCGACCGAGCCAGGCGCAGAGGGCGUCCGUCGGUUGCACUUUACCGUGUGAUCGCGGCGUCGCUGCACGUUCACCUUGAAGAAAUUGAACCGCUUAGAGGAGGCGAGCAGCUUGUACAGCUCAGCAUGGUAUGAUGGAACAUGGGCUCGUACUCAUUUUGUUGGUUUUAGAGUUCGCGAGCCAAUGAUUAACAGGGACUGCCGGGGGCAUUCGUACUCGGACGGGAGAGGUGAAAUUCAAGGAUCGUCCGAAGACGCUCUACUGCGAAAGCAUUUGCCAAGAAUGUUUUCAUUAAUCAAGAACGAAAGUCAGAGGUGCGAAGGCGAUCAGAUACCGCCGUAGUUCUGACCGUAAACGUUGCCGACUGGCAAUUGGGCGCACUUCUGUCGAAGUUGCCGCCAGCAGUAUUCCCCGGGAAACCAAAGUCAUUGGGCUCCGGGGGGAGUAUGGUUGCAAAGCUGAAACUUAAAGGAAUUGACGGAAGGGCACCACCAGGAGUGGAGCCUGCGGCUUAAUUUGACUCAACACGGGAAACCUCACCCGGCCCGAACACUGUUAUGACAGACAGGUUGAGAGCUCUUUCUCGAUUCAGUGGUUGGUGGUGCAUGGCCGUUCUUAGUUCGUGGAGCGAUCUGUCUGGUUAAUUCCGAUAACGAACGAGACUCUUGCCUGCUAAAUAGACGGCGUCGACUCGCGUCGGCGACCGAUCGCUUCUUAGAGGGACAAGCGGCUUUUAGUCGCGUGAAGCGGAGAGCAAUAACAGGUCAGUGAUGCCCUCAGAUGUUCGGGGCCGCACGCGCGCUACACUGUUUGCAUCAGCGUGUUUCACCCUCGCCGGCUGGCGUGGGCAACCCGUUGAACCGCAAACGUGCUAGGGAUCGGAGAUUGCAAUUAUUCUCCGUCAACGAGGAAUUCCUUGUACUUGCGAGUCAUCAGCUCGCGGGGAAUCUGUCCCUGCCCUUUGUACACACCGCCCGUCGCUACUACCGAUUGAGUGGUUUAGUGAGGCCCACGGACGGCCCGCGGCACUCGGCGCUUCGGCGUCGCGUCGCGGACUGAAAGUGAGACGAACUUGAUCACUUCUAGGAAGUAAAAGUCGUAACAAGGUUUU